UGGGGAAUUUUGGACAAUGGGGGAAACCCUGAUCCAGCCAUCCCGCGUGUGCGAUGAAGGCCUUCGGGUUGUAAAGCACUUUUGGCAGGAAAGAAACGUCGCGGGUUAAUACCCCGCGAAACUGACGGUACCUGCAGAAUAAGCACCGGCUAACUACGUGCCAGCAGCCGCGGUAAUACGUAGGGUGCAAGCGUUAAUCGGAAUUACUGGGCGUAAAGCGUGCGCAGGCGGUUCGGAAAGAAAGAUGUGAAAUCCCAGAGCUUAACUUUGGAACUGCAUUUUUAACUACCGGGCUAGAGUGUGUCAGAGGGAGGUGGAAUUCCGCGUGUAGCAGUGAAAUGCGUAGAUAUGCGGAGGAACACCGAUGGCGAAGGCAGCCUCCUGGGAUAACACUGACGCUCAUGCACGAAAGCGUGGGGAGCAAACAGGAUUAGAUACCCUGGUAGUCCACGCCCUAAACGAUGUCAACUAGCUGUUGGGGCCUUCGGGCCUUGGUAGCGCAGCUAACGCGUGAAGUUGACCGCCUGGGGAGUACGGUCGCAAGAUUAAAACUCAAAGGAAUUGACGGGGUCGAUANCU
rnacentral:rRNA from 1 species